UACGAAGGUGGCAAGCGUUGUUCGGAUUUACUGGGCGUACAGGGCGCGUAGGCGGUUGGGUAAGUCCUCCGUGAAAUCUCCAGGCUUAACCUGGAAAGUGCAGAGGGGACUGUUCAGCUAGAGGAUGGGAGAGGAGCGCGGAAUUCCCGGUGUAGCGGUGAAAUGCGUAGAGAUCGGGAGGAAGGCCGGUGGCGAAGGCGGCGCUCUGGAACAUUUCUGACGCUGAGGCUCGAAAGCGUGGGGAGCAAACAGG
rnacentral:rRNA from 1 species